AAACGAAACCUUAGGGGAUCUUUGUAAGAAACCAGAGUGAAAAAACAAAGUUAGAUUGGCGAGUCAGUAACUAACAAGAUCAUCAAUGAACAAACGCUAAUCUUGCGAGGUGCUCCACGCACGAGUAGUACUCGAGCUUCCUGAUCUUCGAGGCCCAAAACGAUCCAGGCGUGGAAGAGAAAGGGCUGGAUCGUUUCUUCUUGUUGGCUCGUCUGCUGCUGGAUUCGUGCUGCUGCUGCUGCUGCCGCUGCUGCUCUCGAUUCUCCUCCUGCUCUUCGCUCUCGAUCCCUUCAGGGAUCGUUUGCAAGGUGGGAUUUAGCCUCUUCUGGCGGCGGCGGAGAUAGGCGCGCUGCAUUUGCUCCUCCUCGCUGAUGAGCAUCCCAUUCCGGACGAGAUCUCGCUGGAAGAGCCCGCCCCUUGGCCGGCACCAGCGACCCAUUGCCCUAAUUCGCCCAAAUUCCUAGAUUGCCCUCACCGAUCGAUCCCAAUCGGCCAAAUCGUUAGCUCCCAUCGUUUAGCUCCUAUCGCUGGCCGGCUUACCUCAUCUCCAUCCUGGAAGACGUGGAUGGGGGCCACGUGUCGUGGAUCCCACCAAUCGUGAC
rnacentral:lncRNA from 1 species